rnacentral:rRNA from 1 species
ACUUAAAUUGAAGAGUUUGAUCAUGGCUCAGAUUGAACGCUGGCGGCAGGCCUAACACAUGCAAGUCGAGCGGUAGCACAGAGAGCUUGCUCUCGGGUGACGAGCGGCGGACGGGUGAGUAAUGUCUGGGAAACUGCCUGAUGGAGGGGGAUAACUACUGGAAACGGUAGCUAAUACCGCAUAACGUCGCAAGACCAAAGUGGGGGACCUUCGGGCCUCAUGCCAUCAGAUGUGCCCAGAUGGGAUUAGCUAGUAGGUGGGGUAAUGGCUCACCUAGGCGACGAUCCCUAGCUGGUCUGAGAGGAUGACCAGCCACACUGGAACUGAGACACGGUCCAGACUCCUACGGGAGGCAGCAGUGGGGAAUAUUGCACAAUGGGCGCAAGCCUGAUGCAGCCAUGCCGCGUGUGUGAAGAAGGCCUUCGGGUUGUAAAGCACUUUCAGCGGGGAGGAAGGCGGUGAGGUUAAUAACCUCACCGAUUGACGUUACCCGCAGAAGAAGCACCGGCUAACUCCGUGCCAGCAGCCGCGGUAAUACGGAGGGUGCAAGCGUUAAUCGGAAUUACUGGGCGUAAAGCGCACGCAGGCGGUCUGUCAAGUCGGAUGUGAAAUCCCCGGGCUCAACCUGGGAACUGCAUUCGAAACUGGCAGGCUAGAGUCUUGUAGAGGGGGGUAGAAUUCCAGGUGUAGCGGUGAAAUGCGUAGAGAUCUGGAGGAAUACCGGUGGCGAAGGCGGCCCCCUGGACAAAGACUGACGCUCAGGUGCGAAAGCGUGGGGAGCAAACAGGAUUAGAUACCCUGGUAGUCCACGCUGUAAACGAUGUCGAUUUGGAGGUUGUGCCCUUGAGGCGUGGCUUCCGGAGCUAACGCGUUAAAUCGACCGCCUGGGGAGUACGGCCGCAAGGUUAAAACUCAAAUGAAUUGACGGGGGCCCGCACAAGCGGUGGAGCAUGUGGUUUAAUUCGAUGCAACGCGAAGAACCUUACCUGGUCUUGACAUCCACAGAACUUUCCAGAGAUGGAUUGGUGCCUUCGGGAACUGUGAGACAGGUGCUGCAUGGCUGUCGUCAGCUCGUGUUGUGAAAUGUUGGGUUAAGUCCCGCAACGAGCGCAACCCUUAUCCUUUGUUGCCAGCGGUUAGGCCGGGAACUCAAAGGAGACUGCCAGUGAUAAACUGGAGGAAGGUGGGGAUGACGUCAAGUCAUCAUGGCCCUUACGACCAGGGCUACACACGUGCUACAAUGGCAUAUACAAAGAGAAGCGACCUCGCGAGAGCAAGCGGACCUCAUAAAGUAUGUCGUAGUCCGGAUUGGAGUCUGCAACUCGACUCCAUGAAGUCGGAAUCGCUAGUAAUCGUAGAUCAGAAUGCUACGGUGAAUACGUUCCCGGGCCUUGUACACACCGCCCGUCACACCAUGGGAGUGGGUUGCAAAAGAAGUAGGUAGCUUAACCUUCGGGAGGGCGCUUACCACUUUGUGAUUCAUGACUGGGGUGAAGUCGUAACAAGGUAACCGUAGGGGAACCUGCGGUUGGAUCACCUCCUUACCUUAAAGAA